rnacentral:rRNA from 1 species
UACGAAGGGGGCUAGCGUUGCUCGGAAUCACUGGGCGUAAAGCGCACGUAGGCGGCUUCUUAAGUCAGGGGUGAAAUCCUGGAGCUCAACUCCAGAACUGCCUUUGAUACUGAGGAGCUGGAGUCCGGGAGAGGUGAGUGGAACUCCGAGUGUAGAGGUGAAAUUCGUAGAUAUUCGGAAGAACACCAGUGGCGAAGGCGGCUCACUGGCCCGAUACUGACGCUGAGGCACGAAAGCGUGGGGAGCAAACAGG